AGAGUUUGAUCAUGGCUCAGGAUGAACGCUGGCGGCGUGCCUAAUACAUGCAAGUCGAGCGGCAGCGGCGUCUUCGGACGCCGGCGAGCGGCGGACGGCUGAGUAACACGUAGGAACAUACCCCAAACUGAGGGAUAAGCACCAGAAAUGGUGUCUAAUACCGCAUGUGGUCUAAGGACUAAAGCUUCGGCGGUUUGGGA
rnacentral:rRNA from 1 species